rnacentral:rRNA from 1 species
GAUGAACGCUAGCUAUAGGCUUAACACAUGCAAGUCGAGGGGAAACGGCAUUAUGUGCUUGCACAUUUUGGACGUCGACCGGCGCACGGGUGAGUAUCGCGUAUCCAACCUGCCCUUUACUUGGGGAUACCCCGUUGAAAGACGGCCUAAUACCCGAUGUAAUUCAUUGAUGGCAUCAGAUAUGAAUAAAAGAUUUAUCGGUAAAGGAUGGGGAUGCGUCUGAUUAGCUUGUUGGUGAGGUAACGGCUCACCAAGUCGACGAUCAGUAGGGGUUCUGAGAGGAAGGUCCCCCACAUGGGAACAGGGACACGGUCCAAACUCCUGCGGGAGGCAGCAGUGAGGAAUAUUGGUCAAUGGGCGCAAGCCUGAACCAGCCAAGUAGCGUGCAGGAAGACGGCCCUAUGGGUUGUAAACUGCUUUUAUACGAGAAUAAUUUGAUGCACGUGUGCGUUAUUGCAUGUAUCGUAUGAAUAAGGACCGGCUAAUUCCGUG